UUUCUCAAAGUCAUUUAUUUUCCAUUAUCAUGGAUUUACAGUAUCAAAUCAGUGAAAUAUCCCUUUAUGGAGCCAACUAUUCUGUCUGAGUUCUAAUCAAAUUUCAGCUUUCAACUUUCAUCCUUCUCUUAGAGAACACUUGGGGGUCACUCAGCAGUUUAAAAUCACAUCUACUCUCCUCUGAGGAGUAAAGUCUGGUUCCGCUGGUCUCCUGUAGUCUACAGGACGUGGACUGGACUGGGCUGAGCAGCUGAGGGUCCACAGCAGGGAUUGGAGGAGAAGUCCUGUCCCCCCUCCUCCUUUCAGCACACAGACAGGGAGCAGAGAGGGAAGCGACAACAACACAUUCUGAGCGGGACAGCCGGAGCAGCUAACACCGCCUGCUGCACUCUGUGAGGCGCUUUCUUCUCCGGCUUUCUUCUUGGACAGCAUCCUUCCUGUGUUCCUGCUGUUCACUGGUCCACAGCGCCCACUGCAGUGCUGGAAAGCAAACACAACUCUCAUUGCAGACAAGAGUGCAGUUUGUGUGAGAGGAUGAAGGGGAGGAACCCUGGCAGUCUGUGGAGUUUGUAGGAAC